rnacentral:rRNA from 1 species
ACGAACGCUGGCGGCGUGCCUAAUACAUGCAAGUCGAACGGUCUUUCUAUGGAAACUUGCUUCCACUGAGAAGAUAGUGGCGAACGGGUGAGUAACACGUGGGUAACCUGCCCAUGAGAGGGGGAUAACAUCCGGAAACGGGUGCUAAUACCGCAUAGUUUUCUUGAUCGCAUGAUCGGGAAAGGAAAGACGGCCUUUGUGCUGUCGCUUAUGGAUGGACCCGCGGCGUAUUAGUUAGUUGGUGAGGUAACGGCUCACCAAGACGAUGAUACGUAGCCGACCUGAGAGGGUGAUCGGCCACAUUGGGACUGAGACACGGCCCAGACUCCUACGGGAGGCAGCAGUAGGGAAUCUUCCGCAAUGGACGAAAGUCUGACGGAGCAACGCCGCGUGAGUGAAGAAGGUUUUCGGAUCGUAAAACUCUGUUGUCAGAGAAGAACAAGUUGGAGAGUAACUGCCCCAGCCUUGACGGUAUCUGACCAGAAAGCCACGGCUAACUACGUGCCAGCCGCGGC